rnacentral:rRNA from 1 species
AACGCUGGCGCGUGCUUUAACACAUGCAAGUCGAACGAAGCAUUCGCAGUGAGGCCCUUCGGGGUUGACSCAGCGAAUGACUGAGUGGCGGACGGGUGAGUAACACGUGAAGUACCCUGCCUUUCACCGUGGAUAACCAUUGGAAACGAUGGCUAAUACCGCAUAAUGCUACAUGCGGCAUCGUCGUGUAUCCAAAGAUUUUAUCAGUAAAGAUGGACUCGCGCCCGAUUAGAUAGUUGGUAGGUAACGGCUCACCAAGUCUGCGAUCGGUAGCCGAACUGAGAGGUUGAUCGGCCACAUUGGGACUGAGACACGGCCCAGACUCCUACGGGAGGCAGCAGUGGGGAAUAUUGGGCAAUGGGCGCAAGCCUGACCCAGCAACGCCGCGUGAAGGAUGAAGGUUUUCGGAUUGUAAACUUCUUUAGUCAGGGACGAAAGCAAUGACGGUACCUGAAGAAUAAGCCACGGCUAACUACGUGCCAGCAGCCGCGGUAAUACGUAGGUGGCGAGCGUUAUCCGGAUUUACUGGGUGUAAAGGGCGUGUAGGCGGCUUUUUAAGUUGGAUGUGAAACCCUGUGGCUUAACUGCAGGCUUGCAUCCAAAACUGGAGAGCUUGAGUGAUAGAGGGGAAAGUGGAAUUCCUAGUGUAGCGGUAAAAUGCGUAGAUAUUAGGAGGAACACCGGUGGCGAAGGCGACUUUCUGGCUAUCAACUGACGCUGAGGCG